rnacentral:rRNA from 1 species
GAUCCUCGGCUCAGGAUGAACGCUAGCGGCAGGCUUAACACAUGCAAGUCGAGGGGCAGCAUAAUGGAUAGCAAUAUCUAUGGUGGCGACCGGCGCACGGGUGCGUAACGCGUAUGCAACCUACCUUUAACAGGGGGAUAACACUGAGAAAUUGGUACUAAUACCCCAUAACAUCAUGAAAGGCAUCUUUUAUGGUUGAAAAUUCCGAUGGUUAGAGAUGGGCAUGCGUUGUAUUAG